rnacentral:rRNA from 1 species
UACGUAGGGGGCAAGCGUUGUUCGGAUUUACUGGGCGUAAAGGGCGCGUAGGCGGUCAGCACAAGUCAGUUGUGAAAUCUCCGGGCUUAACUCGGAAAGGUCAACUGAUACUGUGCGACUAGAGUGCGGAAGGGGCAACUGGAAUUCUCGGUGUAGCGGUGAAAUGCGUAGAUAUCGAGAGGAACACCUGCGGCGAAGGCGGGUUGCUGGGCCGACACUGACGCUGAUGCGCGAAAGCGUGGGGAGCGAACAGG